rnacentral:rRNA from 1 species
UACGUAGGGUGCAAGCGUUAAUCGGAAUUACUGGGCGUAAAGCGCGCGCAGGCGGCUUUGCAAGACAGAUGUGAAAUCCCCGGGCUUAACCUGGGAACUGCAUUUGUGACUGCAUGGCUAGAGUGCGGCAGAGGGGGAUGGAAUUCCGCGUGUAGCGGUGAAAUGCGUAGAUAUCUGGAGGAACACCGGUGGCGAAGGCGGCAUCCUGGACCAACACUGACACUGAGGAGCGAAAGCCAGGGGAGCAAACGGG